UAGGGAAUCUUCCACAGUGGACGCAAGUCUGAUGGAGCAACGCCGCGUGAGUGAAGAAGGUUUUCGGAUCGUAAAGCUCUGUUGUUGGUGAAGAAGGAUAGAGGCAGUAACUGGUCUUUAUUUGACGGUAAUCAACCAGAAAGUCACGGCUAACUACGUGCCAGCAGCCGCGGUAAUACGUAGGUGGCAAGCGUUGUCCGGAUUUAUUGGGCGUAAAGCGAGCGCAGGCGGAAUGAUAAGUCUGAUGUGAAAGCCCACGGCUCAACCGUGGAACUGCAUCGGAAACUGUCAUUCUUGAGUGCAGAAGAGGAGAGUGGAAUUCCAUGUGUAGCGGUGGAAUGCGUAGAUAUAUGGAAGAACACCAGUGGCGAAGGCGGCUCUCUGGUCUGCAACUGACGCUGAGGCUCGAAAGCAUGGGUAGCGAACAGG
rnacentral:rRNA from 1 species